rnacentral:rRNA from 1 species
AUUGAACGCUGGCGGCAUGCCUUACACAUGCAAGUCGAACGGUAACAGGUCUUCGGAUGCUGACGAGUGGCGAACGGGUGAGUAAUACAUCGGAACGUGCCUAGUAGUGGGGGAUAACUACUCGAAAGAGUGGCUAAUACCGCAUGAGAUCUACGGAUGAAAGCAGGGGAUCGCAAGACCUUGUGCUACUAGAGCGGCCGAUGGCAGAUUAGGUAGUUGGUGGGAUAAAAGCUUACCAAGCCGACGAUCUGUAGCUGGUCUGAGAGGACGAGCAGCCACACUGGGACUGAGACGCGGCCCAGACUCCUACGGGAGGCAGCAGUGGGGAAUUUUGGACAAUGGGCGAAAGCCUGAUCCAGCAAUGCCGCGUGCAGGAUGAAGGCCUUCGGGUUGUAAACUGCUUUUGUACGGAACGAAAAGCCCCGGGUUAAUACCCUGGGGUCGUGACGGUACCGUAAGAAUAAGCACCGGCUAACUACGUGCCAGCAGCCGCAGUAA